GCGCCCGUAGCUCAGCUGGACAAGAGCGCCGGAUUACGAAUCCGGAGGGCGGGGGUUCGAAUCCCCCCGGGCGCA
rnacentral:tRNA from 1 species